ACGCACCAACGCAUGCAUGUGUGAUGAUCGUACAGUCACUUUAGAGAGACAUCUCAUUAUCACUGGUGGAUGCAGAACAGACGGACUGUGGGCAGACAGACGUGCACACGCAGAUGCGUGCAGUUUCCCGGACACACGCACCAACUCAUAAAUGAUUCUGCAGCCACCGUAUGGAGAGGUAUCAGUACCGCUGUUGGAUGUAGAACGCAGACACUGGAG